rnacentral:rRNA from 1 species
CCUACGGGAGGCUGCAGUGGGGAAUAUUGCACAAUGGGGGAAACCCUGAUGCAGCGACGCCGCGUGAGUGAAGAAGUAAUUCGUUAUGUAAAGCUCUAUCAGCAGGGAAGAAAAUGACGGUACCUGAGUAAGAAGCCCCGGCUAACUACGUGCAGGCGCCGCGGGAAUACGUAGGGGGCAAGCGUUAUCCGGGUUUACUGGGGGUAAAGGGAGCGUAGACGGCAGUGCAAGUCUGGAGUGAAAGGCGGGGGCUCAACCCCCGGGCUGCUCUGGAAACUGUACGGCUGGAGUGCAGGAGAGGUAAGUGGAAUUCCUAGUGUAGCGGUGAAAUGCGUAGAUAUUAGGAGGAACACCAGUGGCGAAGGCGGCUUACUGGACUGUAACUGACGUUGAGGCUCGAAAGCGUGGGGAGCAAACAGGAUUAGAUACCCGUGUAGUC